UCAGUGCUAAAUAUUAAAUGCAUUGUUUUGUAUAUUUUAGCCAAAUACUGAUAGUAAUGGUAAUAGCGACGAUAUGGAUGGCUCAAGUUUCUCAUCCUUCUAUUCAUCAUUUAUUAAAACAACUGAUGGAUCUGACAGCCCACAAGAAACUGACAAGGAGUUCAAACAGGGCAAAUACAAAGAAAAAAAGUGUUGUAAAGUUAAAGGAACAAGAAGAAAACGACUCGCAACAUAGUAAACAAUAAUUCUUGCAUAUAGGAAAAUUAUAUAAAUUUAUCACCGAAUUUCACUGCAAAUGAAAUCAAAAAGUAUGGUUUAAAUAAUAUAAAACUGCUGUUAUUAAUCUAUUGGCAAAGUGUAAACUGUACGAAUAUUUUUAAAAAUAAAUGCUAAUUUUGUUUCUUUAAAUGGUUA